rnacentral:rRNA from 5 species
AAAUUGAAGAGUUUGAUCAUGGCUCAGAUUGAACGCUGGCGGCAGGCCUAACACAUGCAAGUCGAACGGUAGCACAG